CCAAAUGGAGUGAUUAAAAAAGGAAAAUAAACUAGACACAAUAAGGAACAACUUUGAUGAAGGACACUUAGCCAAAUUCCUACCGUAACUAGACCAAUAGAACAGUAGAAAAUAGUGAUCCAAAAUUAAAAAUUUACAAUUUCUCUUAGGAGGCUUAGAAAUUGAAAUGGCAACCAAUGCCAACAAAUUUGAUACUCAAAAUGUGGUAUGUGGGUGUAAUUGGAAUUCACAUAACUAUUAAGAAUGAAAAAGUCAACAUUUUGACUUAAAUAGUGUAAUGAAUAGUAACCCUAAAUUACCAAAUUCAAAGAAUUCCAUUUUUAAGCAAGUUUAGGUGUACAUUCAAGUAUGCAUGAAAUUAACUGUUGGAUUAAUUAUGAAAACUGAUACUGAAACACUAUAAAUUGUGUGUUUCAGUUGAAAAAGAGACUGAGAAGGAAGAUAAGGAAAAGUGAGUCAAGGCCUAGAGGCGACUCAUUUCAGAUAAGGGAAAGGAAAAAGCAGUAGAGUGAGCUGCUAAGUUGACAAGGACCCCACUGAAGUUUUUGUACGGGUAUUAUUUUAUACCCAUGUAAUUUAGUUGAUGUAAAUAUGAUAUUGUCCAUAUGUAUCUAUGUAGUAAAUGAGCAGUUGUACACUUAAGUCUGUAAUAAUAUUAUUUUUUAAUUUUCUUUCUGUAAAUUAAGACUUGUGUGUGUAAAUUAAAUUCAAUGCAAUGUUGAUGAGUUUAUUAAA